rnacentral:rRNA from 1 species
UACGGGGGGGGCAAGCGUUGUUCGGAAUUAUUGGGCGUAAAGGGUUCGUAGGUGGCCGGCUAAGUCAGACGUGAAAUCCCUCAGCUUAACUGGGGAACUGCGUCUGAAACUGAUCGGCUUGAGUGCAGGAGAGGAACGCGGAAUUCCAGGUGUAGCGGUGAAAUGCGUAGAUAUCUGGAGGAACACCGGUGGCGAAGGCGGCGUUCUGGACUGCAACUGACACUGAGGAACGAAAGCCAGGGGAGCAAACGGG